rnacentral:sRNA from 1 species
UACGUCCGAAACAGGUCGAACGUGACCCG